rnacentral:tRNA from 2 species
GGCCUCAUAGUUCAAGGGAUAGAACGGAAGUUUCCUAAACUUCAGAUUCAGGUUCGAGUCCUGGUGAGGCUA